UACUAAAUGUUCUUGGGCUGUUAUUAAAUAUAGUCAAGUUUUGUUCUGACCAUUAGUCAUCAAAUGGUCAGAGAGAUGUAGGUAACCUUUGAUUUACUCAUCUAAGUGGUCCCUAGAACCUAAAGUAGAACCUAAAUGUUGAUGACAUCCAAACUUGUGAGUUGUUCAGUUUGUAUCAUUGCAGACAUGAUAGUUGGGUAUUCUUGCAUUGACAUGGAGGCAUUUUUCUCCUUUUCUUGUGACAUUUGACCUGUAUUUUGCUAUUUCCUCCUCACAUUCAUGUCAUGCUUCAGACUCCUAAAACUAAAAAUGUGCUUGUCUUAUUUCUGUGCUAAAAUGUGGCUUGUCUUAUUUCUGUGCUCUCAAGUAUUUUCUCAUUCAGUUUCUUCUUUGGCCCUGGACAAACGGUUCCUAAUACAUUACUCAAGCACUUCACUUGUUUCUAUAGUCAAGUCAUUAAACUGACUGGAAUGUCCCAUGGAUUAGACUGGAGUGUCUAAUUGGUCCUGCACUGCUUUUCAUAUUUGAAUAUAUACAAAUUGCCUUUUUUAAAAUAUGUUUUUUUUGCCUUUCUGCUGAGCUCCGGGUUCAGGUGACUGCACUUGAGCGCUCUUUACAGGAAGAGAAGGAGAGGUGCAAAGAGGAGCGGGUGAGGAGGAGGCUGCUCCACAACACCCUGGUUAUCUUCAUCAUGUGAAGCAGUAGUGCAGGCCAUCAAUGAUGACUCUGUUUUUGUGAACUGCGCCAAAACCUCAAGUCCUGUAAUGAACAAAAUAUUUGAGUUUGAGAGGU